CGGGGCGGCUCGAGCUGGGCUGGGGGCUCGCCCCGCGAGCGUCCUCGGGCGGGGCCUGCGGGUUCGCGCCAGAGCUUCCCCGCUCUUCGCAGGCGCUCAGAAAGUGGGCGAACCCAACGCGCAGAACUGACCCGGGCUUGCGCCCCGCAGUGCUCCUGGCCCACCCCCGGCCGCUGGCUCCCUCUGCCGUCCCCGCCCUCGAGCUUCUAGGUGCCUUUCUCUCGCCACUCCAAGGUGAAAGAACUGGGCUUUUCUCUCCUUUGCUCCGACUAUUUCAGGGAAACUGCAGUCGUCGACGCCUGCGUUGGCAUCGCAAAAGCCCAGGAGGGAUAGCGCAGCCGAGAUUCUCCGACAGCUCCCCACCUCUCCCGGCUCUCUGAUCUACCACGUCAGGCAGUGCAAAGGCAGUAUCUCUCUGAAUCCCGGGACGUCUCAGCCAAAGCAGGGAAGACACCCCAAGUACGCUGGAAGGCUGGGUAAGGCGCGAAGGGCAGCCCCAUUCCAGUCUUCAAAGAGAGCU
rnacentral:lncRNA from 1 species